rnacentral:lncRNA from 13 species
CUAUGUAUCUUGACACGAAUAUUUCAAACCAAAAUAGGGUAUUUCGCCAAAAGAUAAUUUUUUUGAUACGUGAAUUUCACUUUUUCCCCUAUCUUUUAGUGAUUUUAAUGUAAUGAAAUUGACUUUUCAUGCCUCUAAGAGACUUUUUUAAGAGCAUGGUAUUUCUCCAUUUUGGAAAAAAAAAAAUGGCAAAAUAUCUUCUACUGUAGAUAGAAGUUAAUUGGCUGAGGGUAAUAAACAGAUUUAAAAACGACCUUUAACCCCUGACAUUCCGCCAAGGGCUGCAGUGAGUUGCACGCCCCGUGGUGGGUUCGCACCCACGUGCUGGGAGCCGCAGUCUGCAGGCCACGCCUCCCGCUCCUGGAAAAAGGCCCGUGAGAAAGAGCCCCGUCGGGCUCCCAGAACGUGGGAAACGCUCAGCCCCACGAAGCACCGGCGUCCAAAUCCUCGCAGCGCGCAGCUCUGGCAUCGGGUUCCCGUGAGGACAGACCCGAGACGAUUUCCGGACGGAGGCCGGGGCCGGAGGGACGAUGUGACCGCGGACGCUCGUGCUGCCCCCACGCGGCGGGGCCGGUGACUUGGGAUCCCACCCGCCGUCCCGCUGGGAGAUGCACGGAUUCACCCCAGCUGGAGUCCUGCGCCUCAGGCUGUGAAACGGCAGAAGCCGAAUUUAAAACAGAUGAUUACACUCACUCUAUGAGGCAAGGAAGAUUCUGAGGUAGACACUUGGCUGGCUGAGAGCCAGAGAGAAAGCUGCUGGGAAUUGACAGGCAUCAGGCGACCUCAGUUCCAACAUUUCCGGGUAAACGAUGAGGCAAGAUGAGCUGGUGGCAGGAGUCCCUGGAAAUUCUGACAGUCUCAGCUUCUAACUCUAUAAAAUGGAGUCUUCCUUUGCUUCCACAAAGGAAGAGCACAUGGGAGCCUGGCACCCCUGGACCUGAGGAAACCCUGAGUGUUGGCAUCUGCAGAUCCUGUCCAAAAAGAGUUUGCCAAUCUCCUGUCUAAGACUGCAAGCCUGACCCCAGCGCUCUGGGAGCCAAAGGGAGAACAAGUCUGCGGAUCUCCCUGCUCAGUAAAUUGGAUUUCACUAAAUACUCUGUUUGCAUGAGCAGCAUUACCCAGUGUCCUGGAGCUUAGAAAAGUUCUGUUCUGAUGUCUGAAGAAAAUAAAUUGUUUAUUGCUCUGAUGUCA